AUGCCACUGACUGCUGGGUCCCAAUGCCCGAUCGCCCCGCCCGCGUCUUCUUCCUCCCCACGCCAAGUCGCGCCGCCGCCGCCGGAAUCCCGAUCUUCUCGGGAUCACGAAUCCCCUCGCCCCCUUCUCCAAGCACCCUCCCCUAUAUAUACCUCUCGCCCCUUGUCCGAUUCCCCCUUAAAGCCCCUACUCUCGUUGCCUCUCCCCGUCGCAAUUUCUCGCCGGAGUCCGCCUCCGCCGCUGCACGCCGUCGCUCACUCCGCCGCCCACACUCACCCCGACAUCUCCCAACACCACCAACAGCCCUCCCACACUCUACCGCGUCGCCAGGUUCCCUUUUUUCACCGGAGGACCGCCGUAGGACCAACGCCGACGACCAUCGAGCGCCGUCUCCACCUCGAGCUCGCCGCCGACCGUCUCCGACCACCUCCGCCGAUGCCACAACCAUCGUUGGGGACGCCACGCGUUGCUGCACCUGCCUGUGGCCUUUUUCGACGCCUCCGAUCAUCGAAGACGCCUCGCCGACGACGCCCGAAGCCCACGCCACCAUCGACCACCGCGGUGAGCUCUCCACUCCCACUCCAUCGUUAG
rnacentral:rRNA from 1 species